rnacentral:rRNA from 1 species
GCCCAGAUGGGAUUAGCUAGUAGGUGGGGUAAAGGCUCACCUAGGCGACGAUCCCUAGCUGGUCUGAGAGGAUGACCAGCCACACUGGAACUGAGACACGGUCCAGACUCCUACGGGAGGCAGCAGUGGGGAAUAUUGCACAAUGGGCGCAAGCCUGAUGCAGCCAUGCCGCGUGUAUGAAGAAGGCCUUCGGGUUGUAAAGUACUUUCAGCGGGGAGGAAGGGAGUAAAGUUAAUACCUUUGCUCAUUGACGUUACCCGCAGAAGAAGCACCGGCUAACUCCGUGCCAGCAGCCGCGGUAAUACGGAGGGUGCAAGCGUUAAUCGGAAUUACUGGGCGUAAAGCGCACGCAGGCGGUUUGUUAAGUCAGAUGUGAAAUCCCCGGGCUCAACCUGGGAACUGCAUCUGAUACUGGCAAGCUUGAGUCUCGUAGAGGGGGGUAGAAUUCCAGGUGUAGCGGUGAAAUGCGUAGAGAUCUGGAGGAAUACCGGUGGC